rnacentral:rRNA from 1 species
CCUACGGGGUGCAGCAGUGGGGAAUAUUGCGCAAUGGGCGAAAGCCUGACGCAGCGCCGCCGCGUGAGGGAUGAAGGUCUUCGGAUCGUAAACCUCUGUCAGCAGGGAAGAACGGUCACUGUGCUAAUCAGCAGUGAAUUGACGGUACCUGAAAAGGAAGUAGCGGCUAACUCAGUGCCAGAAGCCGCGGUAAUACGGAGGAUUCAAGCGUUAUCCGGAUUUAUUGGGUUUAAAGGGUGCGUAGGCGGUUCGAUAAGUUAGAGGUGAAAUCCCGGGGCUCAACUCCGGCACUGCCUAGGAUACUGUCGGUCUAGAGUUUAGUUGCGGUAGGCGGAAUGUAUGGUGUAGCGGUGAAAUGCAUAGAGAUCAUACAGAACACCGAUUGCGAAGGCAGCUUACCAAACUACGACUGACGUUGAGGCACGAAAGCGUGGGGAGCAAACAGGAUUAGAUACCCGAGUAGUC